ensembl:lncRNA
CUCCCACCCUCCCACCAAUUCCCGUUACUGCAGCAACUUGCCAGAACAGGACAAGACCGCCGACUCUCCGAGCAGGGGGCUGGGAGAGGGGUGGAUAGGAAGGAGGAAGAGAAGAAAGGGUUGUCAGAUUUAGAAGAAGAAAAAAAGCAAUACUUGGGACAUGCUAUUUAUCUGAAACUAAAAUUUAACUGGGUGUCCUAUAUUUUAUCUGGCCACCCUACAAAUAAGGGAUGGGGAGGUAGGCAGAGAUGGAUGGAUCCAUACUCUUGGAAGAUGGUGGCAGUGUCUGCAGGUUGGGCAAGGAUGUGGUGGGGGAGGAUGGCUCAGCAUCGGGUCUCACCCUUGCCCCCUGAGGGAAAGGUCCCACCCCUAGGCUGCAGCAGGGGUGCAGAGGAAGAAGGGGUGGACCCUUUCCACCCUUGGGGCCGAGGCUGCUGUGAGCUGUGUUGUCAGAUUAUCCACAUCUGUCCCAGCUCCUCGACCACAGUUCACAGACCCCACUGUGGACAGAGGCGUGGACUUGCUACCAGGAGAGGGGUUGGGGUAGCACAGAGAGCCUAGCCUAGGGCUGCAGCCAAGAGUCAAAAGGUGCCCCUUGGCAUCCACCGAUGCCCAGCCACAGUCAAUGGGCAGGAGCCCUCCAGCUCCCAGCUUCCGGGUGCCCAGUCUCACUCAGGGGCCAGGCGCUUUGUUCUGAGUGUCCAGGAGGUGAAAUGGGGAGAGAAAGAGACCCUGCUUAGCCUUGGCCAACGGGCACCCCCAUUUCAGCUGUGGUCAGCGAGCAGCAUAGCAGCAGGAAGACGGAGGCCUGCAAGCUGCCCACUGUGUGUGAAGCGGGGGGACCCAGACUUUGUGGAGAAGCAAGACCUGAGCAACCCACAAAAGCCUCCUGGGGGCAGCCAUAAUGAGGAGACAUUGCCCCCUCCCCAGCCUCCUUAAAUUGGCCCAGAGGAGGCUGAGGAAGGAACGAGCCUCACCUGGAGCCCACACGGGAGCCCAGGGCCCGGCCGAGCUGGGCCAGGCUGAGCACGUGCACGUUCCCCCACCCCAGGCCCCCACAUCCUCCUGCCUGCAAUGCCUCCUUUUAGAAAAUGCUCUGAAGCCUCC